rnacentral:rRNA from 1 species
UACGUAGGGGGCAAGCGUUGUCCGGAUUUAUUGGGCGUAAAGAGCUCGUAGGUGGUUCGGUAAGUCGGAUGUGAAAUCUCCAGGCUCAACCUGGAGGGGUCAUUCGAUACUGCCGUGACUAGAGUUCGGUAGGGGAGUGUGGAAUUCCUGGUGGAGCGGUGAAAUGCGCAGAUAUCAGGAGGAACACCCGUAGCGAAGGCGGCACUCUGGGCCGAUACUGACACUGAGGAGCGAAAGCCAGGGGAGCGAACGGG